GCUUGUGGCAGCCAAGCGU
rnacentral:snRNA from 1 species